rnacentral:rRNA from 1 species
GACGUAGGGCGCGAGCGUUGUCCGGAUUUAUUGGGCGUAAAGAGCUCGUAGGCGGCUUGUUGCGUCAGCUGUGAAAACCCGCAGCUCAACUGUGGGCUUGCAGCUGAUACGGGCAGGCUUGAGUUCGGUAGGGGAGACUGGAAUUCCUGGUGUAGCGGUGAAAUGCGCAGAUAUCAGGAGGAACACCGGUGGCGAAGGCGGGUCU